CAACUCCCUCCCGGUAAAAGCUAACCACUGGCCGGAAGCGAGUCUUGCAUGGACAACGGUAACGUUAUUCGUGAAGCGUAGACAGCAGGUGCUAAAGCCGCGGGAUUGAGUCUCGAUAUCAUGUUCACGUUGGAGGCUUCAUUUUGUUGGGAAUGGGGUCAGUACAGUACAUAUCGUAAUGGUAAGAGAUGUAUUGUCCGACCGGGAUCUAUGGCCG
rfam:Marine metagenome 1096626657414, whole genome shotgun sequence.